rnacentral:misc_RNA from 1 species
UAUUUCAAUUUUUAUUUACAUUCGGUUUACAAACUCUUAACUUCUUUACCUACAGCAAUAAUUGGAAACCAGCGUAAAGUGAUGGGGAACUAAGUCAAUAUUCAAUACUCAAACAGGAGGGUAGACUUCAUUAACCCUGCAAUCUUAUGGGCUCCAACUCACUUGGGUGUCCUGUAGUUGCAGAUACAAGAUUCCUCUCUCUCUCUCUGCUUUCCAUUACCUUAUUAAUAAUAAAUAAAGCUAAAUAUAAUUUACUUGAGAGGCAGCAGGCAGUCCAAUAAGUUCAUUUUCAUCAUCCUUCUCCAUCUUCAGUUAAGUUUCCCUAUCAAAGCAUAAAUUCAUACACAUAGGCAGAUAAAGUGUUGCUCUUUCUGCCUAAUCUCAUUCUCUGCAACUUUUCCUUUUUCUAGUACCCUCUUUUUCACAUCUUCCAACUCCCAGUUCAGCUUCAUUAAUUCAUCAUACAUCAAUAACACAUUAUCAACAUUCAACGACUCCUUUUUUCUGCCUGCUCCUCCUCUGCUCCAAUCGCUUUUCUUUUCUUUUCGAUUUGGUCACCAGAACAACUAAAAUUGCAGUUGAUCACCUUCUCUCCCUCUCUCUUUCUCUCUCCCACGCUUUCUGACUGAUCCUGGAGACAUAUCUGUUGUUUACUUUGUGUCACAGGCAGGUCCCUUAGCAGUUGGCUUUUUGCCAGUGGUCAGAGUUUAGUUUGUUAUCUUAACCCAUACAUGUUAGGUUGGGUCUAGCAUCCUUAAUAUUGUUUCUUUAAUAAUAGUAUUAUGACUCUUCAAAGUUAUAUUGAUAUCAUUUCUACAUAAAUUGGAGUAAA